rnacentral:lncRNA from 1 species
GGCAGAGUUUGUACAGAUGAUGACUGCGAAGUGAAGGCCCGGGCAGCUGGCCAUGCCCGUUCUCCUGAUCUCUUCUUGCGCUCUCCUCUCUUCAACACUCCCCUGCGUACCCGGUUCUAGCAAACGCCAAUUGAUUGACUGAGAAUCUGAUAAAGCAACAAAAGAUUUGUCCCAAGCUGCAUGACUGCUCUUUCUCCUUCCUCCUGACUGUCCCUCCAUGCCCUCAUUGCUUCCUUUGGCCUUCCCCCUCCAUUCCCAGUCUCCAGGCCUGAUGCAUUCACAAGGUGAACCCCAUUGCCCUGCCCUGGGGAGCCUCUGCCCUCCUCCUGCAGCCCGGAUGGCUCUCCUCUGUUUUUGGUUUGCUUCCUUUUGUUUGCCCUUCUUUUGGGUGACCGGGGUGGCCACCAUUCCUGUCCCUGCCCAGUGGGGAGGGGAGCAAGGCCUUCUGCCAAGAGGAGGAGCAUGUCCCCUGCCACUGUUGCAUGCACCCCGGCCCUGUGACUCUGUGUGCAAGCCCAGCAGCCUGUGGGGCAGGGUGCCAAGAGGGGACGGGACGGACGUUCCAGGACAGAGGGAGUCGAGGAUGUGAUCCAGGACGGGUGGGGGGUGGAAGGGUGGGAAAGGGCAGGAAGGCCUUGGAAGCUAACAUGCUUUCACUACUGGAGGGGGACGGAUAGAGCGGAUGGCACUCGGGUCUCACUGACGCUGUUCUGAAACCAUCUGGCUGGCUUUCUGAGGUCAGGCUGGGUAGGGGGCUGUCAUCGGCCAUACUGCUGAUCACACUUGCCCUCAUCCGUCCAGCGAUCUCACGCUGUUCUGUAAAUACCUGGUGCUAACAUCCCAUGCCGCUCCCCCAUGGCACCCCCAGCCUCCUGCCCAGUUCAGGCUGGUCCAGGAAUGGAUGUGGGGGAUGGUCGCUGUGUAACGUGCUGGUGAUCUUUUUCCCCUACCCCUUUUAUGACCCUUAAAACUUUGAUUUUGUCCUAAACAUGCCGGGCCAACUAAAGGGUGGGGAGAGGAGAGACGAGCCCCACCAUGCUCACAAGAACCAACCUGCAAUAAACACUUCUGUGGGCCGCCGCGCAGAGCACGCAGCGGGCACCUCCUGCCCCUCCAUGGCGACUUGGCAUCGCUUUCUGCCCGCCUCUGCCCUCGCCCUGCCUGCCCCACCCCCCAGCGGAGAGCAUGAUCCGCGCCCUUGCUUCUGACUCUAGCCUCUGGGACACAUCAGUCAACGUGGGCAGUUCAGUCUGGGUUCGUUCCUUUCUCUGUUCUCAUCUGGCCCCCCAGGGCGAUCUUGUUGCUUUUUGCUGGGACCUGCCCAGCUUUGAGACUCUCUUCUCUCACCCCUUGGCGCCAGCCUUGAGGGAGGGAGGGACAGAGCUUAUCAGGAGACCCAGCCUAGAGUUGAGGGCAAGGGCAGGUAGGCGUGAGGCUGUGGACUUUGCGGAAUGUUUCGGGGUUUUGGUUUUUUUCUUUUUUUUGUUUUUCUGUUUUUGUUUUGUUUUUUUUGUUGUUGUUGUUUUUUUUUUUAAACCGGGCAAUAUUGUGUUCAGUUCAAGCUGUGAAGAAAAAUAUAUAUCAAUGUUUUCCAAUAAAAUACAGUGACUACCUG